CCUACGGGUGGCAGCAGUGGGGAAUAUUGGGCAAUGGGCGCAAGCCUGACCCAGCAACGCCGCGUGAAGGAAGAAGGCCCUCGGGUUGUAAACUUCUUUUGUCAGGGACGAAACAAAUGACGGUACCUGACGAAUAAGCCACGGCUAACUACGUGCCAGCAGCCGCGGUAAUACGUAGGUGGCAAGCGUUAUCCGGAGUUACUGGGUGUAAAGGGCGUGUAGGCGGGAGAGCAAGUCAGAUGUGAAAUUCCAGGGCUCAACCGUGGAACUGCAUUUGAAACUGUUUUUCUUGAGUGAAGGAGAGGCAAGCGGAAUUCCGUGUGUAGCGGUGAAAUGCGGAGAUAUACGGAGGAACACCAGUGGCGAAGGCGGCCUGCUGGACAUUAACUGACGCUGAGGCGCGAAAGCGUGGGGAGCAAACAGGAUUAGAUACCCCGGUAGUC
rnacentral:rRNA from 1 species